CAGUCGCCACGGUAAUACAGAGGGUGCGUGCGUUAAUCGGAUUUACUGGGCGUAAAGCGUGCGUAGGCGGCUUCUUAAGUCGGAUGUGAAAUCCCUGAGCUUAACUUAGGAAUUGCAUUCGAUACUGGGAAGCUAGAGUAUGGGAGAGGAUGGUAGAAUUCCAGGUGUAGCGGUGAAAUGCGUAGAGAUCUGGAGGAAUACCGAUGGCGAAGGCAGCCAUCUGGCCUAAUACUGACGCUGAGGUACGAAAGCAUGGGGAGCAAACAGGAUUAGAUACCCCUGUAGUCCCUGUCUCUUAUAC
rnacentral:rRNA from 1 species